UACAGAGGUCUCAAGCGUUGUUCGGAAUCACUGGGCGUAAAGGGUGCGUAGGCUGCACGGUAAGUCAGAGGUGAAAUCCCGGAGCUCAACUUCGGAAUUGCCUCCGAUACUGCCGUGCUUGAGGACUGGAGAGGAGAUUGGAAUUCACAGUGGAGCAGUGAAAUGCGUAGAUAUUGUGAGGAACACUAGUGGCGAAGGCGAAUCUCUGGACAGUUCCUGACGCUGAGAGACGAAAGCUAGGGGAGCGAAUGGG
rnacentral:rRNA from 1 species